AACGGGUGAGUAACACGUGAGCAACCUGCCCUGGACUCUGGGAUAAGCGCUGGAAACGGCGUCUAAUACUGGAUACGAGACGUGGCCGCAUGGUCAACGUUUGGAAAGAUUUUUCGGUCUGGGAUGGGCUCGCGGCCUAUCAGCUUGUUGGUGAGGUAAUGGCUCACCAAGGCGUCGACGGGUAGCCGGCCUGAGAGGGUGACCGGCCACACUGGGACUGAGACACGGCCCAGACUCCUACGGGAGGCAGCAGUGGGGAAUAUUGCACAAUGGGCGGAAGCCUGAUGCAGCAACGCCGCGUGAGGGAUGACGGCCUUCGGGUUGUAAACCUCUUUUAGCAGGGAAGAAGCGAAAGUGACGGUACCUGCAGAAAAAGCGCCGGCUAACUACGUGCCAGCAGCCGCGGUAAUACGUAGGGCGCAAGCGUUAUCCGGAAUUAUUGGGCGUAAAGAGCUCGUAGGCGGUUUGUCGCGUCUGCUGUGAAAUCCCGAGGCUCAACCUCGGGCCUGCAGUGGGUACGGGCAGACUAGAGUGCGGUAGGGGAGAUUGGAAUUCCUGGUGUAGCGGUGGAAUGCGCAGAUAUCAGGAGGAACACCGAUGGCGAAGGCAGAUCUCUGGGCCGUAACUGACGCUGAGGAGCGAAAGGGUGGGGAGCAAACAGGCUUAGAUACCCUGGUAGUCCACCCCGUAAACGUUGGGAACUAGUUGUGGGGUCCUUUCCACGGAUUCCGUGACGCAGCUAACGCAUUAAGUUCCCCGCCUGGGGAGUACGGCCGCAAGGCUAAAACUCAAAGGAAUUGACGGGGACCCGCACAAGCGGCGGAGCAUGCGGAUUAAUUCGAUGCAACGCG
rnacentral:rRNA from 1 species